GGCUACCCGCUUCCGGUGAGGACACUUGACAGCCAGUUCCCCCGAGGCCGUCGCAGAGGCAGAAUCUGGAGUGACUAGAAACGACUUCUCUUUCCCGCGGCCGCCGGGGCCAUACCUGAAGCUGGCUACGGGAGCCCUGAGCCCCAGGCUAAGCGAUGUGAGCAACGCUGAGGGAGCAGGAAGGGGCGUGGCUUCCGCCUCAUAGAGGGGUCCCGCCCCGGUGACGUCACUUCCGUAAACAAAGGGCGCUGUGGAGGCGCCGGUCCCAGGCUGCUGACCCGGGUGGGCGACCCCGGACUCUUGCUGCAGCUGUAGCAGAGGGUUUGGACGCUCUCUGACCCUUUUCAGUUAAGGAGGGGGAUCGCAGCCUCUUCCUCCGGUCAUAUGAAGCUGGUGUUGAUGCGUCGAAGAACUUAAAACAAUGGAAGAGCGGAAAGUGAAGAGGAAGAGCCCCAAGUCUUUCAGUGCCCACUCUACUCAGGUUGUUAAUGCCAAAAAAAAUGCCAUCCCAGCGAGUAAAAGCACAGGCUUUUCAAAUCCCACAGCACAGUCAACUUCCCAGCGGCCAAAGUUAAAGAGAGUGAUGAAAGAGAAGAACAGACCUCAAGCAGGAGAAGGGAAGGGGGCUCAGUCCACCCCCAUCCAGCACUCCUUCCUCACGGACGUCUCCGAUGUCCAGGAGAUGGAGCGCGGGCUCCUCAGUCUGCUGAAUGAUUUCCACUCUGGAAAGCUGCAGGCGUUCGGAAAUGAAUGUUCCAUAGAACAGAUGGAACAUGUCCGGGGAAUGCAGGAGAAAUUAGCUCGCUUGAACUUGGAGCUGUACGGGGAGUUAGAGGAGCUUCCCGAGGAUAAGCGGAAAGCGGCCAGCGAUGCCAACCUGGACAGACUUCUGUCUGACGGGGCUGAGAAGCUGACUCAGCGACUAAAAGUACUUGCUGCUCUUGCAGAGGACCCAGAGUCUGUCGCCAGCACCCACAUGGCGGCCCUCGACCGUCUGUAGCUCCAGUUCCGGAGAUCUGAAGCCCUCUUCUGGCCUCUGAGGGCACACCUCUGUGGUGCACAUGCUUACAUGUGGGCAAAACACUCAUACCCGUAAAAUAAAAAUAAAUAAAUCUUUCCAGCCUUCUUUAGGGAGCUAGGGAGAGAGCUCAGUCAGCCAAGUCCUUGCUGCUCCAGCGUGAGGGCCUGAGUUCAGACCCUCAGUACCUGCAACCCCAGCCCUGGAGAGGUGGGGAUGCAAAGAUCUCUGGGCUUACUGGCCACCCAUUCUUGCUGCAUUUGUGAGCUCCAGGUUUGCUGAGAGAUCCUGUCUCAGAAAACUAAGGUGGAGAACAAUUGAGGAAGACACGAAACGUUGACCUCUGGCUUCCCCAUGUGCAGAUGCACACACUUGCACGUGUGUACACACCAAACCUUUGUAGAACAAAGGGAAAUAAAUAAAAACUGACUUCAGCGUAUUUUAGCUUCGUUGUUCAUAGCUUGUCAUUGUUCACCAGUGACAAGAGUUUGUUUCUGCUGCUUUUCUUCACUCUUUUUUUUUUUUUUUUUUUAAUAAGUGUGAGGCAACUGUCGAGACAGGGUUUCCUGGUGUAGUUCAGGCUUUCUUAGAACUCAUUCUGUAGACCAGGCUGGCCUCAAACUCAGCCAACCUCCUCUGCCUCCUGAGUGCUGGGAUUAAAGGCCUGCGCCACCUCCUCCUGGUGUCUGCCCAUGCUCUCCAAGCUUUAAGCCUAGAAGAUUAGCAGUGCAUGCUUGUAAUCCGAGCACUUGGGAAUUGGAUGAAGGAGGAACAGGAGUUCAAGGUUAGCCUCACGUACAUGAGACCUCUCGCAGAAACAACAAAAAUCCCUUCAAGCCUGUUCUUUUAAAUGUCAAGUCUGCCAUAUAACAUUCAGUGUCACAAGUUCAUGCUUUGUGCUUUAUUUCUAUUAAAUAGAAGCUUAAUUUCUGCACUUUUGGUGCAUUUAGGAAAAUGCUGUAUCUUGGCAAAAAGAACACUGAAUUUGAAACCAGGAGGCAUAGUGCAAGGCUCACAUCAGUGUUCUUCUUGGUAACGGUGAACCUAGUUACCAAGUCUAGUUAACCUACCUACUUACCUUCUUUUCUUUUUGAAAAUGUUUUUUUUUUUUUGUUUGUUUCUUUUUUCGAGACAGGGUUUCUCUGUGUAGCUUUGGAGCCUGUCCUGGAUCUCACUUCGUAGACCAGGCUGGCCUCGAACUCACAGAGAUCCGCCUGGCUCUGCCUCCCGAGUGCUGGGAUUAAAGGCGUGCGCCACCACCGCCCGGCUCUGAAACUGUUUUGAGUUACUGGAGAUUAAGCCCCGAGGGCCUCAGGAAUGCAAGACAAGCACUCCACCACUAAGCUACAGAUUCAGACAGCAUUUCUAUACUUUAUAUUUCCCCUUCUAAAGUUAAAGAUAGUGUGGUCUGAAUGUCUGUAUCCUUCUAGAACUCAUACUUUCAUGUUCUUCCCCUGAAGGUGGUACACCAAGAGACAGGUCUUUGGAAGGUAAUUAGGUCAAGAGUGAGAUUUAGUAUCCUGGGAAAAGAGGCUGGAAAGAGACACCCCACUGCUUCUGUUUUGUGAGGACAUAGUACAAGAUACUGUUGUUCUGUUAGCCAGACACAGGUUCUGUUGACUUCUUAAUCUUGGAUGGCUGGUCUCGAGAGCCUUCAGAAAUGGGUUUCUUUUUUUCUACAAACCACUAAUUUAAUGAUAUUUUGUUAGAGACUCUUUCAAAAAGAAAUAACAAACAGUAGAGAUUACUGCCAUUUUAGGUGAUUCUAAGAAUACUUGCAAAGCUCUAGUCUUCAGCAUUUGCUUCUACUCUCUCUUAGGGUCUUCCAUUCAGGCUGCAGCUACUUCAUAGUUAUUUUAUAAAAAGGAAUUUCCCAACCUAGAAAAUUAAAAAAACAACUUUUUUUUCGAUAAUUUGUUCAUUCAGUUAAAGAAAACCUACAUGAAGCUAUUUUAAAACAUGGUUUACAGUGACCUACAAAUAUUUAUCUUGUCAAAAUUAAUAUUCAAUUUGUUUCUUUGUGUUGCAGUUAGAAGAAUUGAAUUCUUCUAUACAGAAGCUGCAUUUGGCAGACGCGCAGGAUGUUCCCAAUCCGUCCACCAGCUAACGCGGCGUGCAGCCUGCUCUGGGGGAUUCGCAGAGGAGCAGCAGCCAUUGCUUUCCCAGCCGAGCCCAGUAGCAGAAUCAUCUUCCACAACAACAUUCACGUGCUGAGAGCCAAGUGCAGUGAUUGUGUUCACACGCCCGCCCGCCCGCCGCUUCUAGUCCAUGUGCUUGCUGUAAUCCACCGCUGGGGAGGGCGUGGCCUGGCUGCAGGUCGAUCCGGAAGUGGGAUGCAGUGGGGUGCGGAGUUGUGCUGCUGAGUUUUCUUCUGUUGCCUUAAGGUUAUACUUGAAAUGCUCUGUGCUAAACAUUCGGUGGGGCUGAAGGGUGUGUCCUGCGAUCACCACACCGAGCGAGUUCUGGUCACCCGGUGGUGGUGCACAGGCCUCCUGUGGCAGCCCAGCUUCAGUUUACGUCAGACAAUCAGUACACACGCAGGUGUGUUUCCCAAUGGCCAGUGACAAAUGUUUAAUAAGUAUUUGUGAGAUUCGCUAUUUUUAAUAAAGUGAUUGUUUUAAAUGAUG